rnacentral:rRNA from 1 species
UACGUAGGGGGCUAGCGUUGUCCGGAAUCAUUGGGCGUAAAGAGCGUGUAGGCGGCUCGAUAAGUCCGCUGUGAAAGUCCAGGGCUCAACCCUGGAAGGCCGGUGGAAACUGUCGGGCUAGAGUCCGGAAGAGGCGAGUGGAAUUCCUGGUGUAGCGGUGAAAUGCGCAGAUAUCAGGAGGAACACCGGUGGCGAAGGCGGGUCUCUGGGCCGUAACUGACGCUGAGGAGCGAAAGCGUGGGGAGCGAACAGGAUA